rnacentral:rRNA from 1 species
GACGAACGCUGGCGGCGUGCCUAAUACAUGCAAGUCGAACGAGAGCGACCGGUGCUUGCACUGGUCAAUCUAGUGGCGAACGGGUGAGUAACACGUGGGUAACCUGCCCAUCAGAGGGGGAUAACAUCCGGAAACGGAUGCUAAAACCGCAUAGGUCUUCGAACCGCAUGGUUUGAGGAGGAAAAGAGGCGCAAGCUUCUGCUGAUGGAUGGACCCGCGGUGCAUUAGCUAGUUGGUGAGGUAACGGCUCACCAAGGCCGUGAUGCAUAGCCGACCUGAGAGGGUGAUCGGCCACAUUGGGACUGAGACACGGCCCAAACUCCUACGGGAGGCAGCAGUAGGGAAUCUUCCGCAAAGGACGCAAGUCUGACGGAGCAACGCCGCGUGAGUGAAGAAGGUUUUCGGAUCGUAAAACUCUGUUGUUAGAGAAGAACAAGUGCUAGAGUAACUGUUAGCGCCUUGACGGUAUCUAACCAGAAAGCCACGGCUAACUACGUG